rnacentral:rRNA from 1 species
GAUGAACGCUGGCGGCGUGCCUAAUACAUGCAAGUCGAGCGAACGGACGAGAAGCUCUCUUCGCUUAUGUUAGGGGCGGACGGGUGAGGAAUAGGUGGAUAACUUACCGAUAAGACUGGGAUAACGUCGGGAAACCGGAUCUAAUACAGGAUAAGAGUGUGAACGGCAGGGAUCAAAAGAGAAAGACGUUCUUGCUGACACUAGUAGAGGGAACCUGGUUGGAUUAGCUAGUUGGUAGGGUAACGGCUUACCAAGGCAACGAUGCGUAGCCGACCUGAGAGGAUGAUCAGCCACACUGGAACUGAGACACGGUCCAGACUCCUACGGGAGGCAGCAGUGGGGAAUCUUGCACAAUGGGCGAAAGCCUGACGCAGCCACGCCGCGUGUGUGAUGAAGGUCUUCGGAUCGUAAAGCUCUGUUAUUAGGGAAGAACAUAAGUGUGAGUAACUGUGGCCGUCUUGACGGUACCUACUCAGUAAGCAACGGCUAACUACGUG